ensembl:snoRNA snoRNA:83E4-5
GAAAAAUCCAGAACUUCGAUGGUGAACAUCAUGAAGUAUGUCGAGCAGGAAUCUCAGUGAGUACCACUUAAGGAAUAUAUAGGGUUGUUUACUCGGGCGUCCUUACGGGAUUUGGUAAAUAUUUCAACCUGAAAUGAUUA